rnacentral:rRNA from 1 species
CGCGGCCUAUCAGCUUGUUGGUGGGGUAAUGGCCUACCAAGGCGACGACGGGUAGCCGGCCUGAGAGGGUGACCGGCCACACUGGGACUGAGACACGGCCCAGACUCCUACGGGAGGCAGCAGUGGGGAAUAUUGCACAAUGGGCGCAAGCCUGAUGCAGCGACGCCGCGUGAGGGAUGACGGCCUUCGGGCUGUAAACCUCUUUCGCCAGGGACGAAGCGCAAGUGACGGUACCUGGAUAAGAAGCACCGGCUAACUACGUGCCAGCAGCCGCGGUAAUACGUAGGGUGCGAGCGUUGUCCGGAAUUAUUGGGCGUGAAGAGCUCGUAGGCGGUUUGUCGCGUCGUUCGUGAAAACUCCACGCUUAACGUGGAGCGUGCGGGCGAUACGGGCAGACUUGAGUUCGGUAGGGGAGACUGGAAUUCCUGGUGUAGCGGUGAAAUGCGCAGAUAUCAGGAGGAACACCGGUGGCGAAGGCGGGUCUCUGGGCCGAUACUGACGCUGAGGAGCGAAAGCGUGGGGAGCGAACAGGAUUAGAUACCCUGGUAGUCCACGCUGUAAACGUUGGGCGCUAGGUGUGGGCGACAUCCACGUUGUCCGUGCCGUAGCUAACGCAUUAAGCGCCCCGCCUGGGGAGUACGG